GGGGUGUGCUCAGAGCAGGGGGCCUGAAGAAAUGGCUCCUCUGUUUAUAACACACCCAGCAGGAAUCCGGGGUCAUUGUGACGAGGGGCACCAAACUUGUGGCCUUCCUAUGAACGAACACCCUACAUGU
ensembl:snoRNA